rnacentral:misc_RNA from 1 species
GAAAUGCGAUAAGUAAUGUGAAUUGCAGAAUUCAGUGAAUCAUCGAAUCUUUGAACGCACAUUGCGCCCGUCAGCAUUCUGGCGGGCAUGCCUGUUCGAGCGUCAUUUCAACCCUCAGGACCCCCCUUUCGCGGGGAGGGACCUGGCGUUGGGGAUCGGCCCGCCCCCGCGGCGGCGCCGUCCCCGAAAUCUAGUGGCGGUCUCGCGGCAGCCUCCCCUGCGUAGUAGUUACAACCUCGCAUCGGAGCGCGGCGCGGCCACGCCGUAAAACCCCCGACUUUCUGAACGUUGACCUCGGAUCAGGUAGGAAUACCCGCUGAACUUAAGC